rnacentral:rRNA from 1 species
UACGUAGGCAGCAAGCGUUGUUCGGAGUUACUGGGCGUAAAGGGUGCGUAGGCGGCUUCUUAAGUCUGGUGUGAAAUCUCCCGGCUCAACUGGGAGGGUGCGCCGGAUACUGAGGGGCUAGAGUGUGGGAGAGGAAAGUGGAAUUCCUGGUGUAGCGGUGAAAUGCGUAGAUAUCAGGAGGAACACCGGUGGUGUAAACGGCUUUCUGGACCAUAACUGACGCUGGAGGCACGAAAGCGUGGGUAGCAAACAGG